rnacentral:ncRNA from 1 species
AUGCACAAUACAGUGUUUAUGCGGUUACCCACCGCGUAGAGCAUAGAACGCUCAAACAACAAAGGAGAAAAACAAAUG